rnacentral:hammerhead_ribozyme from 1 species
AUCAAGCUGACGAGUCCCAAACAGGACGAAAUGCGCGUCCUGGAU